UGGUGGAGUGAUUUGUCUGGUUGAUUCCGAUAACGAACGAGACGGGAAGAGCUAACUAGUUUCUUGAUUAACUCACGUUAUUCAAAACUUCUUUGCUCGACAACUUGGUUUUACCAAGAGGAAGCGUCCCGCAAUAACA
rnacentral:rRNA from 1 species